AGUGAACGCUGGCGGUAGGCCUAACACAUGCAAGUCGAACGGCAGCACAGUAAGAGCUUGCUCUUACGGGUGGCGAGUGGCGGACGGGUGAGGAAUACAUCGGAAUCUACUUUUUCGUGGGGGAUAACGUAGGGAAACUUACGCUAAUACCGCAUACGACCUACGGGUGAAAGCAGGGGAUCUUCGGACCUUGCGCGAUUGAAUGAGCCGAUGUCGGAUUAGCUAGUUGGCGGGGUAAAGGCCCACCAAGGCGACGAUCCGUAGCUGGUCUGAGAGGAUGAGCAGCCACACUGGAACUGAGACACGGUCCAGACUCCUACGGGAGGCAGCAGUGGGGAAUAGUGGACAAUGGGCGCAAGCCUGAUCCAGCCAUACCGCGUGGGUGAAGAAGGCCUUCGGGUUGUAAAGCCCUUUUGUUGGGAAAGAAAAGCAGCAGGUUAAUACCCCGCUGUUCUGACGGGACCCAAAGAAUAAGCACCGGCUAACUUCG
rnacentral:rRNA from 1 species